rnacentral:rRNA from 1 species
UGGUGGGUAGUUUGACUGGGGCGGUCUCCUCCUAAAGAGUAACGGAGGAGCACGAAGGUUGGCUAAUCCUGGUCGGACAUCAGGAGGUUAGUGCAAUGGCAUAAGCCAGCUUGACUGCGAGCGUGACGGCGCGAGCAGGUGCGAAAGCAGGUCAUAGUGAUCCGGUGGUUCUGAAUGGAAGGGCCAUCGCUCAACGGAUAAAAGGUACUCCGGGGAUAACAGGCUGAUACCGCCCAAGAGUUCAUAUCGACGGCGGUGUUUGGCACCUCGAUGUCGGCUCAUCACAUCCUGGGGCUGAAGUAGGUCCCAAGGGUAUGGCUGUUCGCCAUUUAAAGUGGUACGCGAGCUGGGUUUAGAACGUCGUGAGACAGUUCGGUCCCUAUCUGC